rnacentral:rRNA from 1 species
UACGAAGGGAGCUAGCGUUGUUCGGAAUUACUGGGCGUAAAGGGCGCGUAGGCGGCUUGGCAAGUUGGAUGUGAAAGCCCAGGGCUCAACCCUGGAAUUGCAUUCAAGACUGCCUUGCUUGAAUUCGGUAGAGGUUGGUGGAAUUCCCAGUGUAGUGGUGAAAUACGUAGAGAUUGGGAAGAACACCAGUGGCGAAGGCGGCUAUCUGGACGGUUUCUGACGCUAAGACGCGAAAGCGUGGGGAGCAAACAGG